GACGAACGCUGGCGGCGUGCCUAAUACAUGCAAGUUGAGCGCUGAAGGUUGGUACUUGUACCGACUGGAUGAGCAGCGAACGGGUGAGUAACGCGUGGGGAAUCUGCCUUUGAGCGGGGGACAACAUUUGGAAACGAAUGCUAAUACCGCAUAAAAACUUUAAACACAAGUUUUAAGUUUGAAAGAUGCAAUUGCAUCACUCAAAGAUGAUCCCGCGUUGUAUUAGCUAGUUGGUGAGGUAAAGGCUCACCAAGGCGAUGAUACAUAGCCGACCUGAGAGGGUGAUCGGCCACAGUGGGACUGAGACACGGCCCAAACUCCUACGGGAGGCAGCAGUAGGGAAUCUUCGGCAAUGGACGAAAGGCUGACCGAGCAACGCCGCGUGAGGGAAGAAGGUUGUCGGAUCGUAAAACUCGGUUGGUAGAGAAGAACGUUGGUGAGAGUGGAAAGCUCAUCAAGUGACGGUAACUACCCAGAAAGGGACGGCUAACUACGUG
rnacentral:rRNA from 1 species